AUUGAACGCUGGCGGCAUGCUUUACACAUGCAAGUCGAACGGUAACAGGCCGCAAGGUGCUGACGUGUGGCGAACGGGUGAGUAAUGCAUCGGAACGUGCCCAGUCGUGGGGGAUAACGCAGCGAAAGCUGCGCUAAUACCGCAUACGAUCUAUGGAUGAAAGCGGGGGACCGUAAGGCCUCGCGCGAUUGGAGCGGCCGAUGUCAGAUUAGGUAGUUGGUGGGGUAAAGGCUCACCAAGCCAACGAUCUGUAGCUGGUCUGAGAGGACGACCAGCCACACUGGGACUGAGACACGGCCCAGACUCCUACGGGAGGCAGCAGUGGGGAAUUUUGGACGAUGGGCGCAAGCCUGAUCCAGCAAUGCCGCGUGCAGGAAGAAGGCCUUCGGGUUGUAAACUGCUUUUGUACGGAACGAAACGGCUCUGGUUAAUACCCGGGGCUAAUGACGGUACCGUAAGAAUAAGCACCGGCUAACUACGUGCCAGCCGCCGCGGUAA
rnacentral:rRNA from 1 species